rnacentral:rRNA from 1 species
CCUACGGGGGGCAGCAGUGGGGAAUAUUGGACAAUGGGGGGAACCCUGAUCCAGCCAUGCCGCGUGUGUGAAGAAGGCCCUCGGGUUGUAAAGCACUUUCAGUGAGGAAGAACGCCUGGUGGUUAAUACCCAUCAGGAAAGACAUCACUCACAGAAGAAGCACCGGCUAACUCCGUGCCAGCAGCCGCGGUAAUACGGAGGGUGCGAGCGUUAAUCGGAAUUACUGGGCGUAAAGCGCGCGUAGGUGGCUUGAUAAGCCGGUUGUGAAAGCCCCGGGCUCAACCUGGGAACGGCAUCCGGAACUGUGAAGCUAGAGUGCAGGAGAGGAAGGUAGAAUUCCCGGUGUAGCGGUGAAAUGCGUAGAGAUCGGGAGGAAUACCAGUGGCGAAGGCGGCCUUCUGGACUGACACUGACACUGAGGUGCGAAAGCGUGGGUAGCAAACAGGAUUAGAUACCCUAGUAGUC